rnacentral:rRNA from 1 species
GAUGAACGCUGGCGGCGUGCCUAAUACAUGCAAGUCGAGCGAACAGACGAGGAGCUUGCUCCUCUGACGUUAGCGGCGGACGGGUGAGUAACACGUGGAUAACCUACCUAUAAGACUGGGAUAACUUCGGGAAACCGGAGCUAAUACCGGAUAAUAUAUUGAACCGCAUGGUUCAAUAGUGAAAGACGGUUUUGCUGUCACUUAUAGAUGGAUCCGCGCCGCAUUAGCUAGUUGGUAAGGUAACGGCUUACCAAGGCAACGAUGCGUAGCCGACCUGAGAGGGUGAUCGGCCACACUGGAACUGAGACGCGGUCCAGACUACUACGGGAGGCAGCAGUAGGGAAUCUUCCGCAAUGGGCGAAAGCCUGACGGAGCAACGCCGCGUGAGUGAUGAAGGUCUUCGGAUCGUAAAACUCUGUUAUUAGGGAAGAACAAAUGUGUAAGUAACUAUGCACGUCUUGACGGUACCUAAUCAGAAAGCCACGGCUAACUACGUG